UGGGGAAUUUUGCACAAUGGGGGAAACCCUGAUGCAGCGACGCCGCGUGAUUUAGAAGGCCUUCGGGUUGUAAAAAUCUUUUUUACGGGAUGAAAAUGACAGUACCGUAAGAAUAAGGUCCGGCUAAAUACGUGCCAGCAGCCGCGGUAAUACGUAUGGACCGAGCGUUGUCCGGAAUCAUUGGGCGUAAAGGGUACGUAGGCGGCCUAGUAAGUUAGAAGUGAAAUAAUAUAGCUCAACUAUAUAAAGCUUUUAAAACUGCUAGGCUUGAGAAAUGGAAGGGAAAGUGGAAUUCCUAGUGUAGCGGUGAAAUGCGCAGAUAUUAGGAAGAAUACCGGUGGCGAAGGCGACUUUCUGGUCAUCAUCUGACGCUGAGGUACGAAAGCGUGGGUAGCAAACAGG
rnacentral:rRNA from 1 species